rnacentral:rRNA from 1 species
GAUGAACGCUGGCGGCGUGCCUAAUACAUGCAAGUCGAACGAGUUCUCGUUGAUGAUCGGUGCUUGCACCGAGAUUCAACAUGGAACGAGUGGCGGACGGGUGAGUAACACGUGGGUAACCUGCCCUUAAGUGGGGGAUAACAUUUGGAAACAGAUGCUAAUACCGCAUAGAUCCAAGAACCGCAUGGUUCUUGGCUGAAAGAUGGCGUAAGCUAUCGCUUUUGGAUGGACCCGCGGCGUAUUAGCUAGUUGGUGAGGUAAUGGCUCACCAAGGCGAUGAUACGUAGCCGAACUGAGAGGUUGAUCGGCCACAUUGGGACUGAGACACGGCCCAAACUCCUACGGGAGGCAGCAGUAGGGAAUCUUCCACAAUGGACGCAAGUCUGAUGGAGCAACGCCGCGUGAGUGAAGAAGGCUUUCGGGUCGUAAAACUCUGUUGUUGGAGAAGAAUGGUCGGCAGAGUAACUGUUGUCGGCGUGACGGUAUCCAACCAGAAAGCCACGGCUAACUACGUGCCAGCAGCCGCGGUAAUACGUAGGUGGCAAGCGUUAUCCGGAUUUAUUGGGCGUAAAGCGAGCGCAGGCGGUUUUUUAAGUCUGAUGUGAAAGCCCUCGGCUUAACCGAGGAAGCGCAUCGGAAACUGGGAAACUUGAGUGCAGAAGAGGACAGUGGAACUCCAUGUGUAGCGGUGAAAUGCGUAGAUAUAUGGAAGAACACCAGUGGCGAAGGCGGCUGUCUGGUCUGUAACUGACGCUGAGGCUCGAAAGCAUGGGUAGCGAACAGGAUUAGAUACCCUGGUAGUCCAUGCCGUAAACGAUGAAUGCUAGGUGUUGGAGGGUUUCCGCCCUUCAGUGCCGCAGCUAACGCAUUAAGCAUUCCGCCUGGGGAGUACGACCGCAAGGUUGAAACUCAAAGGAAUUGACGGGGGCCCGCACAAGCGGUGGAGCAUGUGGUUUAAUUCGAAGCAACGCGAAGAACCUUACCAGGUCUUGACAUCUUUUGAUCACCUGAGAGAUCAGGUUUCCCCUUCGGGGGCAAAAUGACAGGUGGUGCAUGGUUGUCGUCAGCUCGUGUCGUGAGAUGUUGGGUUAAGUCCCGCAACGAGCGCAACCCUUAUGACUAGUUGCCAGCAUUUAGUUGGGCACUCUAGUAAGACUGCCGGUGACAAACCGGAGGAAGGUGGGGAUGACGUCAAAUCAUCAUGCCCCUUAUGACCUGGGCUACACACGUGCUACAAUGGAUGGUACAACGAGUUGCGAGACCGCGAGGUCAAGCUAAUCUCUUAAAGCCAUUCUCAGUUCGGACUGUAGGCUGCAACUCGCCUACACGAAGUCGGAAUCGCUAGUAAUCGCGGAUCAGCACGCCGCGGUGAAUACGUUCCCGGGCCUUGUACACACCGCCCAUCACACCAUGAGAGUUUGUAACACCCGAAGCCGGUGGCGUAACCCUUUUAGGGAGCGAGCCGUCUAAGGUGGGACAAAUGAUUAGGGUG